rnacentral:rRNA from 1 species
UACGAAGGGGGCGAGCGUUAAUCGGAAUUACUGGGCGUAAAGCGUGCGUAGACGGUCAUGUAAGUCGGGUGUGAAAGCCCCGGGCUCAACCUGGGAAUUGCAUUCGAGACUGCAUGGCUAGGAUGCGGAAGAGGGAAGCGGAAUUUCCGGUGUAGCGGUGAAAUGCGUAGAUAUCGGAAGGAACACCAGUGGCGAAAGCGGCUUCCUGGUCCAGCAUCGACGUUCAGGCACGAAAGCGUGGGGAGCAAACAGG